UGAGGAAUAUUGCACAAUGGAGGAAACUCUGAUGCAGCAACGCCGCGUGGAGGAUGACGCAUUUCGGUGUGUAAACUCCUUUUAAGAGGGAAGAUAAUGACGGUACCUCUUGAAUAAGCACCGGCUAACUCCGUGCCAGCAGCCGCGGUAAUACGGAGGGUGCAAGCGUUACUCGGAAUCACUGGGCGUAAAGGGUGCGUAGGCUGGCUUCUAAGUCAGAUGUGAAAUCCAAUGGCUUAACCAUUGAACUGCAUUUGAAACUGGAAGACUAGAGACGAGAAGGGGCAGAUGUAAUUAAGGGUGUAGGGGUAAAGUCCGUAGAGAUCGCGAGGAAUAGCAAAAGGGAGGGCGAUCGGAUGGGAUGAGACUGACGCUGAGGCACGAAAGCGUGGGGAGC
rnacentral:rRNA from 1 species